GGGGAUGGGGGGCAGGCCUACACAUGCAGUCGAGCGGCAGCACGGGUACUUGUACCUGGUGGCGAGCGGCGGACGGGUGAGUAAUGCCUAGGAAUCUGCCUGGUAGUGGGGGAUAACGCUCGGAAACGGACGCUAAUACCGCAUACGUCCUACGGGAGAAAGCAGGGGACCUUCGGGCCUUGCGCUAUCAGAUGAGCCUAGGUCGGAUUAGCUAGUUGGUGAGGUAAUGGCUCACCAAGCGACGAUCCGUAACUGGUCUGAGAGGAUGAUCAGUCACACUGGAACUGAGACACGGUCCAGACUCCUACGGGAGGCAGCAGUGGGGAAUAUUGGACAAUGGGCGAAAGCCUGAUCCAGCCAUGCCGCGUGUGUGAAGAAGGUCUUCGGAUUGUAAAGCACUUUAAGUUGGGAGGAAGGGCAGUUACCUAAUACGUAUCUGUUUUGACGUUACCGACAGAAUAAGCACCGGCUAACUCUGUG
rnacentral:rRNA from 1 species